GACGAACGCUGGCGGCGCGCUUAAUACAUGCAAGUCGAGCGAGAACCGGAGCUUCGGCUCCGGGGACAGCGGCGAACGGGUGAGUAACACGUGGGUAACCUGCCCUCGGCACCGGGAUAGCCCGGGGAAACCCGGAUUAAUACCGGAUGGCCCUUCCGCUCUUCGGGGCGGUCGGAAAAGGUAGCUUCGGCCUCCGGCCGAGGAUGGGCCCGCGGCGGAUUAGCUUGUUGGUGAGGUAACGGCUCACCAAGGCUCCGAUCCGUAGCUGGUCUGAGAGGACGAUCAGCCACACUGGGACUGAGACACGGCCCAGACUCCUACGGGAGGCAGCAGUAGGGAAUCUUGCACAAUGGGCGCAAGCCUGAUGCAGCGACGCCGCGUGCGGGAAGACGGCCUUCGGGUUGUAAACCGCUUUCAGGAGGGACGAAGCCACUCGGGUGAAUAGCCCAGAGGGUGACGGUACCUCCAGAAGAAGCCCCGGCUAACUACGUGCCAGCAGCCGCGGUAAUAC
rnacentral:rRNA from 1 species